rnacentral:rRNA from 1 species
GACGAACGCUGGCGGCGUGCCUAAUACAUGCAAGUUGAGCGAUGAAGAUUGGUGCUUGCGCCAAUUUGAAGAGCAGCGAACGGGUGAGUAACGCGUGGGGAAUCUGCCUUUGAGCGGGGGACAACAUUUGGAAACGAAUGCUAAUACCGCAUAACAACUUUAAACAUAAGUUGUAAGUUUGAAAGAUGCAAUUGCAUCACUCAAAGAUGAUCCCGCGUUGUAUUAGCUAGUUGGUGAGGUAAAGGCUCACCAAGGCGAUGAUACAUAGCCGACCAGAGAGGGUGAACGGCCAAAAUUGGACUGGGACACGGCCCAAACCCCUACGGGAGGCAGCAGUAGGGAAUCUUCGGCAAUGGAGGAAAGUCUGACCGAGCAACGCCGCGGGAGUGAAGAAGGGUUUCGGAUCGGAAAACUCUGUUGGUAGAGAAGAACGUUGGUGAGAGUGGAAAGCUCAUCAAGUGACGGUAACUACACAGAAAGGGACGGCUAACUACGUG